AAUAAUAUAAAAGAUUUCCGGAGCAGUCCUCGUAUUUACUUGGGGAGUACUGCCAUCUGCCGGUAGUUAUCUGGCCCCAGCGUGUCAGCUGGUUUGCUGUCAAUGCCGUUUUCGUGUCGGACGGUAGGUUAAUUUCCACGUGCAGUGCUGUCUAGAAUGUAACAAAUUAAUUGAUGCGGGAUUGAGGGCUGCGCCACCCGAACGGGGUAACCAACAGAACCUGCGGGCCCCUUAUGGUUAACGUCGGCGGGAGCACUGUGCCCCAGGUUUAGGCAGGACGGGGCGACGGGAAGAUACUACGGAGGUGUACUUCGUUUAAAACCAGGAGUCACGCUCCGAUUUUGUUUUGAAGACACGGACAGUAACCCGUUCGCUAGGGAGUACACCUAGGAACUGGAAUUACUCGGGGAAUUGGGAACUGGUCAGGGUAAUAGAGGUAACGGCUUGCACGUUUUAAUAAAAGGGUUGAAAGAUUGUCGUUUUAAUGACACUAUAAACACUCACUCACCUCGACGGCUAAUUACGAUUAACCCCCUAGGGCUAACGGCAACACACUCAACACAAGGAACGACAGGGGGUGCAGGUUAACAACGGUUUUACAGGAAAUGGAACGACGGUUAAAGGUGCAGUAAUCAAUGACAGGUAAAUAAGGCUGGUUAAUAGCAAAAGGCACUGGUAAAGGUAGAAGCAAAAGUUACAAACACUGGACUGA